rnacentral:rRNA from 1 species
GGUCAAGCGAACAAGUGCAUGUGGUGGAUGCCUUGGCGAUCACAGGCGAUGAAGGACGCGGUAGCCUGCGAAAAGCUACGGGGAGCUGGCAAACAAGCUUUGAUCCGUAGAUGUCCGAAUGGGGAAACCCACUCCUUUUGGAGUAUCCAUGGCUGAAUACAUAGGCCAUGUGAAGCGAACGCGGUGAACUGAAACAUCUAAGUAACCGCAGGAAAAGAAAUCAACCGAGAUUCCCAAAGUAGUGGCGAGCGAAAUGGGAUGAGCCUUGCACUCUUUAUUUGUAUUGUUAGCCGAACGCUCUGGAAAGUGCGGCCAUAGCAGGUGAUAGCCCUGUAGGCGAAAACAGUAUGAAAGAACUAGGUGUGCGACAAGUAGGGCGGGACACGUGAAAUCCUGUCUGAAGAUGGGGGGACCAUCCUCCAAGGCUAAAUACUCGUGAUCGACCGAUAGUGAACCAGUACCGUGAGGGAAAGGCGAAAAGAACCCCGGGAGGGGAGUGAAAUAGAUCCUGAAACCGCAUGCAUACAAACAGUCGGAGCCUCGUAAGGGGUGACGGCGUACCUUUUGUAUAAUGGGUCAGCGACUUACGUUCAGUAGCAAGCUUAACCGUAUAGGGCAGGCGUAGCGAAAGCGAGUCCGAAUAGGGCGUUCAGUUGCUGGGCGUAGACCCGAAACCAGGUGAUCUAUCCAUGGCCAGGAUGAAGGUGCGGUAACACGUACUGGAGGUCCGAACCCACUAACGUUGAAAAGUUAGGGGAUGAGCUGUGGAUAGGGGUGAAAGGCUAAACAAACCUGGAAAUAGCUGGUUCUCUCCGAAAACUAUUUAGGUAGUGCCUCGUGUCUCACCUUCGGGGGUAGAGCACUGUCAUGGUUGGGGGGUCUAUUGCAGAUUACCCCGCCAUAGCAAACUCCGAAUACCGAAGAGUGCAAUCACGGGAGACAGACAUCGGGUGCUAACGUCCGGUGUCAAGAGGGAAACAACCCAGACCGCCAGCUAAGGUCCCCAAAUAUAGCUAAGUGGGAAACGAAGUGGGAAGGCUAAAACAGUCAGGAGGUUGGCUUAGAAGCAGCCACCCUUUAAAGAAAGCGUAAUAGCUCACUGAUCGAGUCGUCCUGCGCGGAAGAUGUAACGGGGCUAAGCUAUAUACCGAAGCUGCGGAUGCGAGCUUGCUCGCAUGGUAGGAGAGCGUUCCGUAAGCCUGCGAAGGUGCCUUGUAAAGGGUGCUGGAGGUAUCGGAAGUGCGAAUGCUGACAUGAGUAGCGAUAAAGGGGGUGAAAGGCCCCCUCGCCGUAAGCCCAAGGUUUCCUACGCAACGUUCAUCGGCGUAGGGUGAGUCGGCCCCUAAGGCGAGGCAGAAAUGCGUAGCUGAUGGGAAGCAGGUCAAUAUUCCUGCACCAUUGUUAGAUGCGAUGGGGGGACGGAUCGCGGAAGGUUGUCCGGGUGUUGGAAGUCCCGGUCGCUGCAUUGGAGAAGGCGCUUAGGCAAAUCCGGGCGCAGGAUUCAAGGGUGUGGCGCGAGCUCCUUAGGGAGCGAAGCAAUUGGAAGUGGUUCCAAGAAAAGCCUCUAAGCUUCAGUCUAACGAUGACCGUACCGCAAACCGACACAGGUGGGCGAGAUGAGUAUUCUAAGGCGCUUGAGAGAACUCGGGAGAAGGAACUCGGCAAAUUGGUACCGUAACUUCGGGAUAAGGUACGCCCUUGUAGCUUGACUGACCGUACCGCAAACCGACACAGGUGGGCGAGAUGAGUAUUCUAAGGCGCUUGAGAGAACUCGGGAGAAGGAACUCGGCAAAUUGGUACCGUAACUUCGGGAUAAGGUACGCCCUUGUAGCUUGACCAGCCUGCGCUGGAAGGGUGAAGGGGUUGCAAUAAACUGGUGGCUGCGACUGUUUAAUAAAAACACAGCACUCUGCAAACACGAAAGUGGACGUAUAGGGUGUGACGCCUGCCCGGUGCCGGAAGAUUAAAUGAUGGGGUGNNNNNNNNNNNNNNNNNNNNNNNNNNNNNNNNNNNNNNNNNNNNNNNNNNNNNNNNNNNNNNNNNNNNNNNNNNNNNNNNNNNNNNNNNNNNNNNNNNNNAGGGUGAAGGGGUUGCAAUAAACUGGUGGCUGCGACUGUUUAAUAAAAACACAGCACUCUGCAAACACGAAAGUGGACGUAUAGGGUGUGACGCCUGCCCGGUGCCGGAAGAUUAAAUGAUGGGGUGCAAGCUCUUGAUUGAAGUCCCGGUAAACGGCGGCCGUAACUAUAACGGUCCUAAGGUAGCGAAAUUCCUUGUCGGGUAAGUUCCGACCUGCACGAAUGGCGUAACGAUGGCCACACUGUCUCCUCCCGAGACUCAGCGAAGUUGAAGUGUUUGUGAUGAUGCAAUCUACCCGCGGCUAGACGGAAAGACCCCAUGAACCUUUACUGUAGCUUUGCAUUGGACUUUGAACCGAUCUGUGUAGGAUAGGUGGGAGGCUAUGAAACCGGAACGCUAGUUUCGGUGGAGCCGUCCUUGAAAUACCACCCUGGUUUGUUUGAGGUUCUAACCUUGGCCCGUGAUCCGGGUCGGGGACAGUGCAUGGUAGGCAGUUUGACUGGGGCGGUCUCCUCCCAAAGCGUAACGGAGGAGUACGAAGGUACGCUAGGUACGGUCGGAAAUCGUGCUGAUAGUGCAAUGGCAUAAGCGUGCUUAACUGCGAGACCGACAAGUCGAGCAGGUGCGAAAGCAGGUCAUAGUGAUCCGGUGGUUCUGUAUGGAAGGGCCAUCGCUCAACGGAUAAAAGGUACUCUGGGGAUAACAGGCUGAUACCGCCCAAGAGUUCAUAUCGACGGCGGUGUUUGGCACCUCGAUGUCGGCUCAUCUCAUCCUGGGGCUGUAGCCGGUCCCAAGGGUAUGGCUGUUCGCCAUUUAAAGAGGUACGUGAGCUGGGUUUAAAACGUCGUGAGACAGUUUGGUCCCUAUCUGCCGUGGGCGUUGGAUAUUUGAAGGGGGCUGCUCCUAGUACGAGAGGACCGGAGUGGACGAACCUCUGGUGUACCGGUUGUCACGCCAGUGGCAUCGCCGGGUAGCUAUGUUCGGAAGAGAUAACCGCUGAAAGCAUCUAAGCGGGAAACUCGCCUUAAGAUGAGAUAUCCCUGGGGACUAGAUCCCCUUGAAGGGUCGUUCGAGACCAGGACGUUGAUAGGUCAGGUGUGUAAGCGCAGUAAUGCGUUCAGCUAACUGAUACUAAUUGCCCGUAAGGCUUGAUCCU